UUCCAGCUCCAAUAGCGUAUAUUAAAGUUGUUGCGGUUAAAAAGCUCGUAGUCGAAUCUGUGUCCCGCGUCGCCGGUUCAUCGUCCGCGGUGUUAACUGGCGAUCCGCGGGACGUCCUGCCGGUGGGUUUAGCUCGCAAGGGCGACCCAACUCAAUCCCGCCGCGGUGCUCUUCAUUGAGUGUCGAGGUGGGCCGGCACGUUUACUUUGAACAAAUUAGAGUGCUUAAAGCAGGCUAAAACUUCGCCUGAAUACUGUGUGCAUGGAAUAAUGGAAUAGGACCUCGGUUCUAUUUUGUUGGUUUUCGGAACCCCGAGGUAAUGAUUAAUAGGAACGGAUGG
rnacentral:rRNA from 1 species